GCCCUACAUGUAAACAGAGUGGUGUGUGGCUUUAACCAGUCUCCGUAUUCACAGGCCAACCCUAGAGGACCUGCUGGGCAGCGACGCCCUCAGCCCCAACACUGCCUUCCACGCCCUCAAGUGCACGAAAACCUUCCUGCAGAAGUCGGGGCAACUCGACAGUAUCUAACUCCCGCCCAGGUGACAGGACGGCCAACACAACCAACGACUCCUGAUAACAACUACCACUGACGGGGCUCUGGAGGCUGUGGGCCCACAGCCUAACUAGCCCCAUAAAACACCCACGAAGAAGAAGAAGUGGUGUGUGGCUGGCCGCGUGGUCUGUGACACCCUCAUCCCCACCCUGGCCAGGGCGCGGCGCCCCACACAGCAGAACACUUCCUGCCACGACUCCACUCAGGGCCCCACACCAGCCCCAGCCAGGCUCCACACCCUCAGAGACUCGUCUGGAGCCCAGGAAGAAGCUUGUGUCUGAGUACGAGUCGCUGAUGGAAGUGGCGGCGCUGUCAGCCAGAGUCCAGCUGGCCACCUCUCCGGGCCCAUAGUCGUGGGGGGCAUCUUGGCGGAGGGUACUUUAAGGUUCAUGGAGCUCCCGGCUCAAAUUACAAGCAAAAGUACUUGAAGGGCGGGAACUUCAGGCUGCUGAGUACCCCCUUGGCCGAGGGAGGGGACCAGGCCUUCCUCACACCUACUUUACUCAGGUCAACCACAAGAGUCUGGACUUCCAGAUCAAGUACGGGUCCAGCCUGCAGCACCUCCACGGGGUAGUGAGCCAGCUGGAGGCCAGUCUGGCAGCCUCAGCACCCUGCUGGCCCUCGUGGAGCAGCUCACCUACAGGCUGGGCCAGCUGGCGCCAGGGCAGGCCGAGGAGGCGCACCUACCGGCGCUGGAGUCAGACACAGACACACUGACCGGCAAGCAGCAGUUGAUCUCAAAAACCUUGGGCAGAGACUGACACUGGGUGUGGGUGGAGCAGCUGGAUACAUGGACCUUGCUGGGUGUGUGAGUGCCUCCCAAAGAAGAGUUCCCAGCGCCACGGCUCCCAAGACCUCCACCAAGCUGGUCAUUGGACACAGAUCGCGGCAGGUGGCAAAAGUGGACGUGGCUGGCGAGUAGUGCGGACUUUGUGCCCCAUCAGGACGUCAUUGUCUCCAGUCGUGUGGUCCAGUGAGUCACCGCUCUACCGCACGACAGUGACCCCAAGGAAGUCCCGGUCCACAGCAGGGAUGUGGCCACCCCUGGCCACAGCCCCAAGUGUUCCCUGGUGGGCCAUACUCACUGAGCUCCUCCUCCUCCUCCUCCUCACCCUGCUGCCGUGGAAGGUGAGGGAGAGAGAGGGACUUUGAUCACUGUCUUCAACACCAAUAAUCAUAAUCUAUUUACCAAUGAGCUACAUGAAAUAAACCAGGAGGAACUACUAAAUCUAGAAAAUUCAAAUGAUAAUUUUAAUCUUUUCUAUGAAAGAGUUUAUGAAUGUUACA